UGAAAAAUUUCAGAAAAUGAUUUCACAAAAACACAGUGUUCAUGUAGUUGCAUUGCAUUUAGGAUCGAGUCUAGAGUGUUUCAUUUAGGAUCAUUGCAUAUGCAUAGGGGAUAAUGAUGAGAUAGCCUUGUAAGCAUUUUGGUUCACCAGAUAAACUCAGCGCCCUCGUUGUUAGUUGCCUGAUGCAUAGUCAAUGAGAUUGAAGUAAGACUCCACCAUGCCUAGAUUGCUCUACUCGACCACACUGUUAGGAUCUGAUACCAUUCCCUAUCAAUUUGAACUUGAAUCUGAUUUAGAAUUAUCAUGUCUUGGCAUCGUAUUUGAACUCAUGGAUACCCUAAAAUACUUGGAUUUUCUUACUCAUUUUAACCACUCUUGUUAGUCCAAGUAGCUGACUCUCUUUAUUAGAGCAGUUAACCCGAACCCAAACCUAAACUUUCUUUCAAGCCCUAUAUCACUCGUGAGUGUUUGUGAGGUCUUAUUUCGAUUGAGCUUAGUAGAAAGUGUUAGGUUCGUAAAGACAGAGAUAGUGUCUCAUGUAGUUCUAGUUCUCGUUCUUCGGACUGGAUAGGACUAGGUGGGCGCUUAUAUCAUGGGUUGGGAUUUGUUUAAAAGAAAAGGGUGAAUUCAUUGUUGACAAGGAAAGGGAAACAAUUCUAGGGGAAAUAAGCUAAAGAAGUUAGAAAAAAAAAAUCUAGUAAAGAUUUUGGGAAUGUUAAAGAAAAGAAUGAGGUUCUUGUUAGCUAAAGAAGAAGGGUUAAAAGCCUUUGGUUUUAAAGAUUAAAAACAGGAACCUUAGUUGUUAAAGAAAUCUAGCGGAUGUAUCAGAGUGUUGAGAAAGCUUCUCCUAGAGUUAAUAGAAAAGAAAAGAAUGAUAUGAAAAAGAGUUUGAAAGAUUCAUGAGUGCAAAGGGUAGAGUUAAGUUGGGACUAGAGUUGGGAUUACCAUUAGAGCUUCAUUGUUAUACUCUGAGUAGAUGGGAUCUUAUCUCUGUAUGCAUAACUUGGGACUUAACUUUAGCAUUCUACUAAAGCUUAAUCAUUCUUGAGAGAUCCCCUGUUACUUAAGCCUAUUCUGUAAGGGACCAUCUUUGUUUCUUAACCUUCACCUUAGCCAAAUGAGUUCAUUGAUGAUGCAUUGCUUGAUUCACGUUCCAGAACUAAUGAAUGUUAAAGGGAUUGGUAGAUUUGAAAGCAUGUGUAGGUCGAGUAUAAGAGACGGAUUGAUUGAUAACAAGGCAUGGCUAACGUUUUUGAGUAAAAUUCAAUCAUAUCGCAUCUUAGAACUACCAACUGGGACAUUGAUUUUAUACUUUGCAUGAUUAGGAUAGCUUUGCAUACAUAUUGCAUUUUUGAGUUGUUUUCAGGUGAUUUGGAGCUGUUUGCGAGCAAAUUGGAAGAAACGAGCUAGAACCAGAAGACAUACUCGACCACCAGGUCGUGUGCAUCCAGCACCAUACUCGACCACCAAGUCGAGUGACUUUGGAGCCAUUCUUCCCAUCUACUCGACCCCCUGGUCGAGUAUCCUCAGCUCAGGCUACUCGAUGACGCCACUCGACCCCCUUGUCGAGUAUCACUUCGCCACACCACCUGACCACACUCGGUUUCACUCUACCAAGUUACUCGACCCCCUGGUCGAGUAUCAUCACUCACCACCAUCACCAUCACUCGACCGGACACUCGAUCAUGUCUUCACAGUCUACUCAAAUCCGCACUCAACCAGACAAGCUGAGCACAAGGAAGAGAAGAGGAGAAGACAAAGUGUUUGGAAGCGGCCUGGACCUCCAUCGGAUCACGAAGCCCAUCUCGGCCCAUUAUCACUCUAUGGGCCGGGCGAUUAGGUUAUUGGCCCGUCUACUAUCAUUUUAUUUCGUUUUGUAUAAAUAGAUGUCUUAGGGUUCUAUCCUGAGACAUCUAGUCGACAUUGAGUUUUUGCUUCAGUUUUAUUUUCUGUUUUACUCUGCUGCGCUGCUUUUGCUUCUGCAACCGGUAAUUCGAGAUUUUUCCAAGUUAUUCCGAUUCCGCAUUUGAUUUCAUCUGUCAUCUUGUUUCUCUACUCCUUAUCUCUUUACUUAUGCAAUAUUAUCAUUUAUCUGCGUUUACGUCCUUGAGCAUGUUGUUUGAGUAGUGACUUAGAAUUCUUAGGGAUGGGAUAGAGUAGUUGUGGAAUCCGUAGUCUGUAGAAUGGUUAAGUUUUAGAAUUGAUUGAAUCCCUUCAGGACUAGUUGCGUUUACUGCUUAUUUCUUUCUGAUCAACUGGAAUUCGAUCCCAAGCAUUCUCGCACCCAGAAGGUGUUCGAUGGAAUGCUUGAUCCACUAGUUCCUGAGAUAUUCGUCUCUAUCCCAAGGGAUUGGCUGUUUAGAGCGUUUAUUGACUUUAUCAGUCUGUUCUUAUUGUCUGCAUAGUUAGAUUCCGUUAAUGGGAAUUAGUCUAGGCUAGCUUUGCUUGAGGAUUUCUAUCACGGGAGUGAAUUGAUCUGUUGUUGAAUAGGCUAGGAUACCACUCUACUCGAUUACCCCAUCCUUAGGAAUUUCUCGUCUAUAUUAUUUCUCUGUUUUAUCGUUAUCGCUUAAUCGUUCUCAUUGCCUGUUUCUUAGUUUUUGCAAUUACUCGACCACACCCAGUGUCUGGCAACAGACUGUGCAGUCAAGUACAGUUGUCUCAUUUCCUAUCUGUUACUCGACCAGUAUACUCGACCACACCCAGUGUCUGGCAACAGACUGUGCAGUCGAGUGUAACUGUUUCACAUCCUGCCUGUUACUCGACCACAUCCUACUUCUGGCAUCAGCCUGUUGUGGUCGAGUGAUUUUAGUGAUUCUAUUAUUGUUUCUGUUUUUUGCAUGUUCGCUUAGGACUGUUAGAAACCCCAAAACUGUUAUUGCUUGGCUUGACUUAGUGACUUCUGAUCACAUCUCAUCUGUUUGCAUCACACUCAUUUGGAUUGACAACCUUCAGUACUACAACGACAUGAUAGUGCUUUAGGUUCAAUUGACUGAAAAACCUAUUAUCAUGUGGUAUCAGAGCACACUCCGAAAGUUGAGUUCUCUAUCUCUAUCAUUUUGUGUCUUUUCAUCUUUAGAUAUGUGUCCGUCUGUCACCUUGAUUUAAUU
rnacentral:sRNA from 1 species